rnacentral:misc_RNA from 1 species
AACCAUAGAAACCUGCGGAGUACCUGCGGAGGGAUCAUUAAAAAAAAAUGAUGAAUGUCGGGGGGCGUGCUCCCCGUGUAUUCAACCAACCCGCUCUUGUAUUUGGAUCAACCAAAAAUCUAAAAAACCAAAAAAUUAUAAUUAAUAAAAAAAUAAACUUUUAACAACGGAUCU